rnacentral:rRNA from 1 species
UACAGAGGUCUCAAGCGUUGUUCGGAUUCAUUGGGCGUAAAGGGUGCGUAGGCGGCGCGGUAAGUCGGGUGUGAAAUUCGUGACUUAACUCCGAAACUGCAUUCGAUACUGCCGUGCUUGAGGACUGGAGAGGAGACUGGAAUUAUGGUGUAGCGGUGAAAUGCGUAGAGAUCAUAGGAAGACCAGUGGCGAAGGCGGGUCUCUGGACAGUUCCUGACGCUGAGACG